rnacentral:ncRNA from 1 species
ACCAUGGGAUCGGGAUGUUCUGACGAGCUAUGUCGGAGCGACCUAGGGGUACAGGGGGUACCUCCGCAAUUGCGGAUCAGGUUCGGUGA